rnacentral:rRNA from 1 species
AGUGAACGCUGGCGGUAGGCCUAACACAUGCAAGUCGAACGGCAGCACAGUAAGAGCUUGCUCUUACGGGUGGCGAGUGGCGGACGGGUGAGGAAUACAUCGGAAUCUACUUUUUCGUGGGGGAUAACGUAGGGAAACUUACGCUAAUACCGCAUACGACCUACGGGUGAAAGCAGGGGAUCUUCGGACCUUGCGCGAUUGAAUGAGCCGAUGUCGGAUUAGCUAGUUGGCGGGGUAAAGGCCCACCAAGGCGACGAUCCGUAGCUGGUCUGAGAGGAUGAUCAGCCACACUAGAACUGAGACUCGGUCCAGACUCCUACGGGAGGCAGCAGUGGGGAAUAUUGGACAAUGGGCGCAAGCCUGAUCCAGCCAUACCGCGUGGGUGAAGAAGGCCUUCGGGUUGUAAAGCCCUUUUGUUGGGAAAGAAAAGCAGCAGGUUAAUACCCCGCUGUUCUGACGGUACCCAAAGAAUAAGCACCGGCUAACUUCGUG